UCUCCUUCAUGAAAGUGCUUCAGGUAAAUGCUAGAAUCAAGUCUUAGAUAUCUGGAUGCUCUUUUUCUUGAAGCAAUCUAUUCUCCUUUUUGUCAUUUGUUGUCUGCAGUUCAAUUUUUGAGAGCUUGGAAACUUAGAUUGGGUACCAGCACAAUGUAUUAGAAGGUCGAAUACAUCAUAUUCUGAAGACAUAAGGCCAUUCAAUUGUAAUAAACAUAAUUAGAGUCUGCAUCAG
rnacentral:misc_RNA from 1 species